AGAGUUUGAUCCUGGCUCAGAACGAACGCUGGCGGCGUGCUUAACACAUGCAAGUCGAACGAGAAAGUACCUUCGGGUGCGAGUAGAGUGGCGCACGGGUGAGUAACACGUGGAUAAUCUGCCCUUGAGUUGGGGAUAACCAGCCGAAAGGCUGGCUAAUACCGAAUGACAUUGCCAAUCACAAGUUUGGUAAUUAAAGGUUUACCGCUUAAGGAUGAGUCCGCGUCCCAUUAGCUAGUUGGUAGGGUAAUGGCCUACCAAGGCUACGAUGGGUAGCUGGUCUGAGAGGAUGAUCAGCCACACUGGGACUGAGACACGGCCCAGACUCCUACGGGAGGCAGCAGUGGGGAAUAUUGGACAAUGGGCGCAAGCCUGAUCCAGCAAUGCCGCGUGAGUGAAGAAGGCCCUAGGGUUGUAAAACUCUUUCGCUAGUGAAGAUGAUGACUGUAACUAGAGAAGAAGCUCCGCUAAC
rnacentral:rRNA from 1 species